GAUCUGCUCCAUCAGGAGUUCAUCUUGUGAGCCCAGGACAGGGUCUCCAUGCGCUGCUGACAGGAGGGGACAGGGCUGGCUCUUCUGUCAAACCAGCAGCUCCCUGAAGAACACAGUUAUUCUUCCAAAGCAGGAGAAAAUAAUCAUCAACAACAGCAACAAAAAAAACCAAACCCAAUCUACGACAACAACAACACCAAAAAAAAGCAAGAAUCAGAAUGAGAGAAGAGAGAACAAAGCAAACUGGACAACAAACCAGAAGUGCUACUGAUCUUCCUGCACAGAAGAUGAAAAACACCCCACAAAUACAUGAAGUGUACUUCGUGAUGUGGAAAUAGGGAAGGGCAGAGGUAAGGGAAUGUUUCCUGCCUUGUGUAGGACAUGACCUUUUCUUCCUGCACUUGCUGCAGCUGCACCUAGGCCUGGUCUCAACAAGACAGAAACCUUUGGCAGUUAUAUUUUGUGGGUUCCUAGCAGAAGAGUUUUUCUUCAAGACCUUCCACAGGACGAAGUUUCUACCAGCAAUUACAGUGCCACAUAAUCACCUUUGUGCAUCGGCCCUGGAUGAGAAGACCACCAGUACUGAUGUAGCUGGCAGACAUCAACAACUGCUUGAACAGCUGGGACCAUCAUUUUUUUGGCAACUAUGUGUUCUUUAAGCCACAAAUCCCGCCUCACAUCAGCCCCAAGAGCAUGGACACACCAUAUGCUAGAUGCUGUAUAUUUCUAAGGAAAUAUCCCAAAGGCACAGUCUAUAUCCAGGGUUCCCCAU